CUGGGUGAAGCCAGCUGAGCUCCUGACUCUGGUGGGGACUUGGGAGAACCUUUAUGUCUAGCUAAGGGAUUGUAAAUACACCAAUCGGCACUCUGUAUCUAGCUCAAUGUUUGUAAACACACCAAUCAGCACCCUGUGUCUAGCUCAGGGUUUGUGAAUGCACCAAUCCACACUCUGCAUCUAGCUACUCAGGUGGGGACGUGGAGAACAUUUGUGUCUAGCUCAGGGAUUGUAAACGCACCAAUCAGUGCCCUGACAAAACAGACCACUGGGCUCUACCAAUCAGCAGGAUGUGGGUGGGGCCGGAGAAGAGAAUAAAAGUAGGCUGCCGGAGCCAAGAGUAGCAAGCGGCUACGUCCCCUUCCACGCUGUGGGGGUUUGUUCUUUCGCUCUUUGCAAUAGAUCUUGUUGCUGCUCACUCUUUAAGUUCAUACUGCCUUUAUGAGCUGUGACAUUCACCGCGAAGGUUUGCAGCUACACUCCUUAAGCCAGGGAGACCACUAACCCACCAGGAGGAACGAACAAACAACUCCAGAUGCGGGGCCUUAAGAGCUGUAACACUCACCGCGAAGGUCCGCAGUUUCACUCCUGAGCUAGCGUGACCACGAACUCACCAGAAGGAAAAAACUCCGAACGCAUCCGAACAUGAGAAGGAACAAACUCCGAACGCGCCUCCUUUAAGAACUGUAACACUCCCGCGACGGUCCGCGGCUUCGUUCUUGAUGUCAGUCAGACCAAGAACCUACCAAUUCCGGACACACCAUCGGGGGACAUGAUAAAUCUGGGAAGGGCACCUCAGCAACUAUUCACUUUACUUCUAAAAACAGCCACGGGGUUUUCUAUCCUCUCAUCUCUUCCUCCCCUUAAAUACAUCAAAGCUUCCCAAAGGAAAAACCUAUCUAAAACUGGAGCCAAACAAGGGGAGUUCAAGACGAGAGACAGCAAAAGAGAAGCCAGUGAUGGCAUUCGAGUUUCUGCAUCAAGAGCAACGUAAGCCGGGCGCAGUGGCUCAGGCCUGUAAUCCCAGCAGUUUGGGAGGCCGAGGCGGGCAGAUCACAAGGUCAGUUCAAGACCAGCCUGGCCAAUAUGGUGAAACCCUGUCUCUACUAAAAAUAUAAAAAUUAGCCAGGCAUGGUGGGUGGUGGUGGGCACCUGUAGUGCCAGCUACUCGGGAGGCUGAGGCAGGAGAAUCGCUUGAACCUGGGAGGCGGAGGUUGCAGUGAGCCAAGAUCGCGCCACUGCACUCCAGCACUCCCGCCUGGGUGACAGAGCAAAACUCUCUCACACACACACACACACACACACACACACACACACACACAAAAAGCAACAUAAUCCAGCCUCGUUCCUAGGCUAGUUUAGGUAAGCAAACCUCACUGACGAUAAAAGGUCCUAACUGAUGUAUUAUUUUGACCGCUUUGAAAUUACAACGUCAUUGUUAUUUCAAUACUGAUAAAAGAAAAACUCAGCCAAAUUAAAUUUAAAGGAGUUGAAUUGAGCAAUGAAUGUUUUGCGAAUCGGGCAGCCCCCCCAAAUCUCAGCAGAUUCACAGAGGCUCCAGCGCAGCCAUGUGGUGGAAGAAGACUUACAGACAAAAAAAAAGGAAAUGACGACAGAAAUUGGAAGUGAGGUACAGAAUGGCUGGAUUGGUUACAGCUCGGUGUUUGCCUUAUUUGAACACAGUUUUAAUACUCAUCAGUGUAUGAAUGGUUGAAGUAUGGCCUCUGGAAUGGCCAAGACUUAGCUAUAGUUACAGAUGCAUACUCUGAAGUUACAUUUUCAAUUUUGUCUGACUACUAAGCUAGAUUACAGUUCAUCCACAAGGACUCAAAUAUAGAAGUAUGGAGCCUUUCUCCGGCCAUAUUUAGUUUGCUUUAAUAAUAUCAAAAUACUAAAAGUAAGGGUGAUUUUAAAAAACGUUUUAUUUUGUGUUAAUUUUAAACUCACAAUAAGUUGUCAAAACUGUUUGGUGAGUUCCCAUGUAUCCAUCACUCAGCUUCCUCCCAUAAUAACAACUUACUUUAUCAUUGAGCUUGUUAAUAUCAGAAAAUGAACACUGGUACACUACUGUAAGCUAAACUAGGGACCUUAUUCAAAUUUUACCAAUUUUAAUAUUAAUAUGAGUAUUUUUUUAAAAACACAUUUAUUCAUGUUAAGCAAUUUGUGCAUUGUGGAUAGAUUGUUUUUCUAACUAGAAAGUAAAUAUUAAAAAUACUUAAAAAUAUAUCAAGCACUACCUAGGUUUUUAGGCAAUAUCAGUGGACUCAGGAGCUUAUUUUACUUUUAGAGUAGAAAACGUUGGAGAGAACAUUUGCCUCAGGCAUUCUGAGAGUGGAUUGAGCAUUUAGGUUAAUUAUUAUGUCUUACUCAUUAUUUAAGACAGGUUAAAAUGUAACUUCUUGCAGUGUUCUUGUGUACCACGAAGGAAUUUGUUCCUACCCUCAUCCAUCACCAGUGGUUGAAAUCAGUCAGCUUAAUGGGUUUCUAAAAGCCAUUUCCAGGCAGCUGUGUUUACGCUUCUCUCCAAAUGCUCAUUGGGGCUUCCUAAGCAGAAAUAUGACAAGGAACACUUCACUCAUCUGUAUUUAAAUAUAAAAGCCUUGUGUAUAUAAAUAUAAAAGUUUAGUGUCUCUUUUUGUUUUCUCUGAUUUUGGCCUAUGGCAAAAAAGAAAAUAAAAAGCGAUAACAAACAAAAAACAAUUUGAAAACAGAGAGGUGAACCAAAAGUAACCCCUAAAAUCCAGAGUUCUGAGGUUGUAGUUGAUUUUUUUGUUUCCUGUUUUUUGUUUUAGGGAUGGGGGUCUCUCUGUGUUGUCCAAGCUGAUCUCAAACUCCUGGCCUCAAGCCAUUUUCCUGGCAUGGUCUUCCAAAGUUCUGGGAUAACAGGCAUGAGCCAUCACUCCCAGCCCUGAUAUAACUUGAAUGAAAUUUGUUAAAUAAAAAAUAGGUGCCACUGGGGAGUAGAACAUAAGGGAGCUAAUAUUUAUUGACAUCUACUAUGGCUAGAUGCCAUACUAGGUGCUUUGAAUGGCUCUGUUUAAUCUUGGUGGUGUAGUCAAAAGUGUACUCAUGAUGUUGACCUUGAGGCAAAUGUCUAAUAGUAUUUAAUGAAUAGGGAUUACAGUGUAACGGGGCAAAAGAAGCAUUGUAAAGCCAGAGGCAGAAGGUACAAUCCAACUUCUGGCUAAUUAAGUGAUACUGUAUUGUCAGAUCCUCUCACUUUAAUUAUCUUAAUUUUAUUCUCUAAAUAAUUCAUGAUCUUUUAUAAAGAAUUGAAAAAAUACGGGAAGGUGUAAGAAAGCAAAAGUCCUUACUUUCCCCAUACCCCGAUUCCUCUCUCUAGGGGUAAUUGUCUUUAACAUAUUAAUAUGCAUCCUUUCUGUCUCCCACAACCUAAAAAUAAAAGAUAUAGUUGAAAUUUUGUUAGUAAACAAUAAGAUUCUAACCAAUCCUUUUCAGAUGUAAAUAACUUACUGUUCAUAAUGAUAGCUUUACUUUUGGCAAAUUAUAUUUCCUAAUUUCAAAUAUUGGGUCUCUUAGAUCAUGUGAGGAAUAAUAUAGCAUUAUAUGUAUAUUUUUCUUACUGGUUUAGAAUUUAAUAAAAAUUGUUAAAAUUUACUGAGUUUAAAAGUUACUAAAGUUUAUUACUGUGUGCUAGGUGCUUUGCCUAAAUUAGCAUAUGAUAACGUGUUUAAUCUUCAUGAGAACCUUUUAAACUAGGUGCUAAAACUCUCCCUAUCGGACAGUUGGUAAAUUUUAGGCACCGAGAGGUCAAAUAAAUUGGCUAAGACCACAAAGCUACUAAGUGGUGAUGUUAAAAUUCAAACCCAAAAGUCAGGUUCCAAGAUCCCAGAACCAGAACUCUUAACCACUAUGCAGUACUGAAGAUAAUGAGCUAGUGAAAGAGCAUGGUCAAUACACACACACACAGCUGGUAAUAACCUAGAAAUCACAGUUUUGCUACCAGGACAAGGAGAUUUUCUACUUUCUAUGAAAAAAUAUAUUGUUUGUUUUUUUGUGGGGAGUUUUAGAAAGAAUUUGACUGAGGGUCACAAGGCAAAAAAAGAGACCAAAGCAAGUUUUAGAGCAGGAGUGGAAUUUUAUCAGAAACCUUUAGAACAGUAAGAAAAGGAAAGAAAGAAAGGAAGAAAAGCACACUUGGAAGAGGACCAAGCAGGUGACUUGAGAAACCAAGUGUGCCUGUAUUAUUGUUGUUCUGAACUAAUAAAUUUGAUGUUUUCUCAUGAGUUUGGAUCAUAAUCCUGAAAGACUUGAAUACCAUAAUCCUGAAUGUUGAAAUCCCGAAAAAUCAAAAUCCCUAAAGUCCAAAUCCCUGAAGUCUAAAAUCUCCCCAAAAUCACGAUCACAUUAUAAUGACAUCAUGUUUGGUG
rnacentral:lncRNA from 1 species